CAUGGCUCAGGAUGAACGCUGGCGGCGUGCCUAACACAUGCAAGUCGAGCGCGAAAGUGUCCUUCGGGACACGAGUAGAGCGGCGGACGGGUGAGUAACGCGUAGACAACCUACCCUGGGGUACGGGAUAACACUUCGAAAGGGGUGCUAAUACCGUAUGAGCUAUAUACUACUGAGGUAGUAUAUGGGAAAGCGUGCCUCUGGAACAAGCACGCGCCCUGGGAUGGGUCUGCGUCCCAUUAGCUAGUUGGUGGGGUAACGGCCUACCAAGGCGACGAUGGGUAGCCGGCCUGAGAGGGUGGUCGGCCACACUGGGACUGAGACAGGGCCCAGACUCCUACGGGAGGCAGCAGUGGGGAAUAUUGCACAAUGGGCGCAAGCCUGAUGCAGCGAUGCCGCGUGCGGGAUGAAGGCCUUAGGGUUGUAAACCGCUUUCAGUAGGGAAGAAAAUGACGGUACCUACAGAAGAAGGUGCGGCCAACUACGUGCCAGCAGCCGCGGUGACACGUAGGCACCAAGCGUUGUCCGGAUUUAUUGGGCGUAAAGAGCUCGUAGGCGGUUCAGUUAGUCGGAUGUGAAAACUCUGGGCUCAACCCAGAGACGCCACCCGAUACUGCUGUGACUAGAGUACGGUAGGGGAGUGGGGAAUUCCUGGUGUAGCGGUGAAAUGCGCAGAUAUCAGGAGGAACACCAGUGGCGAAGGCGCCACUCUGGGCCGUAACUGACGCUGAGGAGCGAAAGCAUGGGUAGCAAACAGGAUUAGA
rnacentral:rRNA from 1 species